rnacentral:lncRNA from 1 species
UUCAAAAACCACUUCAAUCCAUUAUUGGAAUAAUGCAUUACAUAACAGGAGCAAAUCAGUUCAAUUUUGCUCCAUUAGCAUAAGAGUGCAACAAAUUGUACCAAAUUUCAUAAAGAAAAAGGGUGUCAUUUCACAACCAAGCAAAUUAACUUUCAUCUCAUUUAACGAAAAUAACAAGCUCAGGAAUAUAUGUGUACCUCUUUGAAGCAAGAACAAAAAAAACACGUUGGACCGAACAAUCAAAUAAAGAAGAGAUGCUUCAAAAUGGAACCCAGCUUCAACAAAAUCAGCGGCUUAGACCUCGAACAUCACUUAUAGAACGCAGGAAAAGUUUGUUAAGCCUUAAAGUUUCUAACAAUCUACUAGAAUUCAAAGCUUCAUGGAAAUCUCUACUUCACUCUCUGUUUUCUUUUCAAAGCUUUUGUUUUCUCAAAUCUGAUUUUGAAAAUUAGAAAAUCUAAGCUGUUUUCAAAUGUUCUUCAUCUGUUCCUCUGAAAUAUUCAGCAUUUUCUAUAGGUGUGUUUCUGUGAAGGCAUGUAUGAGAGACAAAGUGAGAAAUGGAGAGAAAGAAGGGAAGAAUCGAGAAGCCCAGGAACUCAGAUGCGUCGCUUUUAGCUUCUUCAAAAGGGAGGUAUUUUGAUCUCUGUUUUUGGGGGAAGGAAGGAGUCUUUCUCUUAGGUCUCAGAUGUGUGAGAGCUGCUAGGUUUUCAUUUUUGGGGAGGGUUCGAUUCUUUGUUGAAGAAGAAGAGAGGAGCGUCGUUGUUCUCUUGUCUAAAGGUCUCCAAUAAUAUUGUAAAAUCUGAUGUUAU